GACGAACGCUGGCGGCGUGCUUAACACAUGCCAGUCGAACGGAAAGGCCCUGCUUUUGUGGUGUUCUCGAUUGGCUAACGUGUGAGUAACACGUGAGUAACCUUCCCUUUACUUUGGGAUAACUUCAGGAAACUGGGGCUAAUACCGUAUAGUAGCUCCUGCUGCAUGGUGGUGUUUUGUAUGUUUCGGCUGUUGGGGAUGGACUCGCGGCUUAUCAGCUUGUUGGUUGUGUAGUUGCUUACCAAGGCUUUGACGGGUAGCCGGCAUGAGAGGGUGACCGGCAAAAUUGGGACUGAGAUACGGCACAGAAUCCAAAGGGAGGAAGCAGUGGGGAAUAUUGAACAAUGGGCGGAAGACUGAUGCAGCAACGACGCGAGCGGGAUGACGGCCUGCGGGUUGUAAACAGAAUUCGCCUGUGACGAAGAGUGAGUGACGGUAAUGGGUAAAGAAGCAACGGCUAACUACGUG
rnacentral:rRNA from 1 species